UUAAUGAGAGUUUGAUCCUGGCUCAGGACGAACGCUGGCGGCGUGCCUAAUACAUGCAAGUAGAACGCUGAGGUUUGGUGUUUACACUAGACUGAUGAGUUGCGAACGGGUGAGUAACGCGUAGGUAACCUGCCUCAUAGCGGGGGAUAACUAUUGGAAACGAUAGCUAAUACCGCAUAAGAGUAAUUAACACAUGUUAGUUAUUUAAAAGGAGCAAUUGCUUCACUGUGAGAUGGACCUGCGUUGUAUUAGCUAGUUGGUGAGGUAAAGGCUCACCAAGGCGACGAUACAUAGCCGACCUGAGAGGGUGAUCGGCCACACUGGGACUGAGACACGGCCCAGACUCCUACGGGAGGCAGCAGUAGGGAAUCUUCGGCAAUGGACGGAAGUCUGACCGAGCAACGCCGCGUGAGUGAAGAAGGUUUUCGG
rnacentral:rRNA from 1 species